GUUCGUGCUUGAACACACUACAGUUUCUCAACAAGAAGAAUCAAACCCUCAAUGUGUUUGAGAUCAGUUCCCAAGUGGUAGGUCAAAAGGACAUGUCUAGAAGCAUCUUUGAUAUCUGGAAAGAGAUUUUUCAGAACAGAAAAAUGAAGCGAGCAAAAAGAUCUGAUAAUUGCUGCAAUGGUAUGUCCAAUGGAUUUAAC